UGGGGAAUAUUGCACAAUGGACGAAAGUCUGAUGCAGCAACGCCGCGUGGAGGAUGACACAUUUCGGUGCGUAAACUCCUUUUAUAUAGGAAGAUAAUGACGGUACUAUAUGAAUAAGCACCGGCUAACACCGUGCCAGCAGCCGCGGUAAUACGGAGGGUGCAAGCGUUACUCGGAAUCAAUGGGGGUAAAGAGCGUGUAGGCGGAUAUAUAAGUCAGAAGUGAAAUCCAAUAGCUUAACUAGUGAACUGCUUUUGAAACUGUAUAUCUAGAAUGUGGGAGAGGUAGAUGGAAUUUCUGGUGUAGGGGUGAAAUCCGUAGAGAUCAGAAGGAAUACCGAUUGCGAAGGCGAUCUACUGGAACAUUAUUGACGCUGAGACGCGAAAGCUUGGGGAGCAAACA
rnacentral:rRNA from 1 species